UGCCCUGAGCCGAAGUCGGCUGCUUAACCGACUAAGCCACCCAGGCGCCCCUAACAUACGGAUUUUUAAACAUUUUCCUGAUUGUCCUGUGAAAUAUCUACCUGCGAUGUGGAAACGGAGGCUCAGACAAGUUACUUACCCAAGAACACUAAGGUCACCAGUAACCAGGUCUUGAACUCAGGGCUUAGUUUUUAUUCCUACACCCCAGCAAUUAAUCACCAUACCACUGUACAUUUUUGAGCACUUACUUUUUAGCAAGCUCUAUUUUGGAUGUGGAUGUGGAGAACAUUAGGAGAGGUGCAAGUUA